CCCUUAGAUGUUCUGGGCCGCACGCGUGCUACACUGACCGGCGCAACAAGCUUUUUUCCUUGGCUCGACAGGCCUGGGUAAUCUUCGAACGCCGGUCGUGAUGGGGAUAGAUCCUUGCAAUUUUUGAUCUUCAACGAGGAAUUCCUAGUAAAUGCGAGUCAUCAUCUCGCGUUGAUUACGUCCCUGCCCUUUGUACACACCGCCCGUCGCACCUACCGAUUGAAUGGUCCGGUGAAAUCUCCGGACUGGCGUGAGUCGGAGCAAUCUGACAAACGCCGGAAAGUUGAUUAAACCUUACCAUUUAGAGGAAGGUGAAGUCGUAACA
rnacentral:rRNA from 1 species